rnacentral:rRNA from 1 species
AGAGUUUGAUCCUGGCUCAGGACCCAUGCUGGCGGCGUGCUUAACACAUGCAAGUCGAACGGACCGAUUUGAAAGAAGCUUCGGCGGAAUUCAGAGAAGGUUAGUGGCGGACGGGUGAGUAACGCGUGAGGAACCUGCCUUUCAGAGGGGGACAACAGUUGGAAACGACUGCUAAUACCGCAUAAAGCGUAGAAGCGGCAUCGCAAUUACGCCAAAGAUUUAUCGCUGAAAGAUGGCCUCGCGUCUGAUUAGAUAGUUGGUGAGGUAACGGCUCACCAAGUCAACGAUCAGUAGCCGGACUGAGAGGUUGAACGGCCACAUUGGGACUGAGACACGGCCCAGACUCCUACGGGAGGCAGCAGUAGGGAAUUUUCGGCAAUGGGGGGAACCCUGACCGAGCAACGCCGCGUGAGUGAAGAAGGUCUUCGGAUUGUAAAGCUCUGUUGUACAGGAAGAACAGUAAUGAGGGAAUCAUUAUAUGACGGUACUGUACCAGAAAGCCACGGCUAACUACGUGCCAGCAGCCGCGGUAAUACGUAGGUGGCGAGCGUUAUCCGGAAUUAUUGGGCGUAAAGGGUGCGUAGGCGGCUUCUUAAGUUCAUGGUUAAAGCGUGGGGCUCAACCCCAUAAAGCCAUGGAUACUGGGAGGCUAGAGUACUGGAGAGGGCAGUGGAAUUCCAUGUGUAGCGGUAAAAUGCGUAGAGAUAUGGAGGAACACCGGUGGCGAAGGCGGCUGCCUGGACAGAAACUGACGCUGAGGCACGAAAGCGUGGGGAGCAAAUAGGAUUAGAUACCCUAGUAGUCCACGCUGUAAACGAUGAAUGCUGGGUAUCGGGGCAACUCGGUGCCGUAACUAACGCGAUAAGCAUUCCGCCUGUGGAGUAUGCACGCAAGUGUGAAACAUAAAGGAAUUGACGGGGGCCCGCACAAGCGGUGGAGUAUGUGGUUUAAUUCGACGCAACGCGAAGAACCUUACCAGGCCUUGACAUCCCUUGCGAAGUCCUAGAGAUAGGAUGGAGGUUAUCAAGGAGACAGGUGGUGCAUGGUUGUCGUCAGCUCGUGUCGUGAGAUGUUGGGUUAAGUCCCGUAACGAGCGCAACCCUUGUCUUCAGUUACCAUCAUUAAGUUGGGGACUCUGGAGAGACUGCCGGUGAUAAACCGGAGGAAGGUGGGGAUGACGUCAAAUCAUCAUGCCCCUUAUGGCCUGGGCUACACACGUACUACAAUGGCUAUUACAGCGUGCAGCGACCUGGUGACAGGAAGCGAAACACUGAAAGAUAGUCUCAGUUCGGAUUGAAGUCUGCAACUCGACUUCAUGAAGUUGGAAUCGCUAGUAAUCGCGGAUCAGCAUGCCGCGGUGAAUACGUUCUCGGGCCUUGCACUCACCGCCCGUCAA